rnacentral:rRNA from 1 species
UACGUAGGGCGCAAGCGUUGCUCGGAAUUACUGGGCGUAAAGGGCGCGUAGGCGGGAUGGCAAGUCGGUCGUGAAAUCCCUCGGCUCAACCGAGGAACGUCGAUCGAUACUGCUGUUCUUGAGGAUUGCAGAGGAGACUGGAAUUCCCGGUGUAGCGGUGAAAUGUGUAGAGAUCGGGAGGAACACCGGUGGCGAAGGCGGGUCUCUGGGCAAUUCCUGACGCUGAGGCGCGAAAGCGUGGGGAGCAAACGGG